AACGAACGCUGGCGGCAGGCUUAACACAUGCAAGUCGAACGCCCCGCAAGGGGAGUGGCAGACGGGUGAGUAACGCGUGGGAACAUACCCUUAUCUUCGGAACAACUCCGGGAAACUGGAGCUAAUACCGAAUGUGCCCUUAGGGGGAAAGAUUUAUCGGAUAAGGAUUGGCCCGCGUUGGAUUAGCUAGUUGGUGGGGUAAAGGCCUACCAAGGCGACGAUCCAUAGCUGGUCUGAGAGGAUGAUCAGCCACAUUGGGACUGAGACACGGCCCAAACUCCUACGGGAGGCAGCAGUGGGGAAUAUUGGACAAUGGGCGCAAGCCUGAUCCAGCCAUGCCGCGUGAGUGAUGAAGGCCUUAGGGUUGUAAAGCUCUUUCACCGGAGAAGAUAAUGACGGUAUCCGGAGAAGAAGCCCCGGCUAACUUCGUGCCAGCAGCCGCCGUAAAAC
rnacentral:rRNA from 1 species